UCCAGUUAUUGAUGUUUGGGGUCAUCUCAACAUCUCAAUUAUCUAAGGUCCUCCAAGAGUUGUACUAGGUGGUUUCGACCGAAAGAAGUGACGCCAGCUUUUUGUCCUUAAAAUUAAUGUUGGUUUUUAUUUGCACCCCAUCUUUUUUCUUGCGUGAGUUAGGAUGUUUAGAGGACAAGCGAUUUCAAAUUCCGUACAG